rnacentral:rRNA from 1 species
UGGGGAAUAUUGGGCAAUGGCCGAGAGGCUGACCCAGCGACCCCGCGUGAGGGAAGAAGUUUUAAGGAACGUAAACCUCUUUUCUGGGGGAAGAUGACUGACGGUACCCCAGGAAUAAGGGACGGCUAACUAUGUGCCAGCAGCCGCGGUAAUACAUAGGUCUCGAGCGUUAUCCGGAGUUACUGGGCGUAAAGGGUCCGUAGCCGGCAAUGCAAGUCUGCUUUCAAAGUUCUAUGCUCAACAUAGGGAAGGGGGUGGAAACUGCAAAGCUAGAGUCAGGUAGAGGUUAGUGGAAUUCCCGGUGGAGAGGUGAAAUUCGUUGAUAUCGGGAGGAAAGCCGAAAGCGAAAGCAGCUAACUAUGCCUGAACUGACGGUGAGGGACGAAAGCUUGGGUAGCAAAUA